rnacentral:lncRNA from 1 species
GGGAAGCUGGACUGGCUUCACCUUCAAAUACAGGGAUGAGCUCAAGCGGCACUACAACCUGGGCCAGUACUGGGUGGAGGUGGAGAUGGAGGACCUGGCCAGCUUUGAUGAGGAUCUGGCUGACUAUCUGUACAAGCAGCCCACUGAGCACCUGCAGCUGGUAAGGAUGCUCUGCCACACAGAGGGACCAGCUUCCCGAUGGGAAAAGCCAUGGGAAAUGCCUACUUUUUCCAAAAAAGAGGGUGUUCCUGCUCUGCUGCACUGGUCACAGCACACAGGGCUCCCUGAAACCAAACCCUGCCCCAAAAUGCAGAGCUUUGGAGGAAGCUGGGACUCAAACGUCCCUGCUUCAUAGUUAUGUGCCAUCUGCCUUCUCACCCGGCAAACCAGAUCAGGGCCUACUCCUCCUCAGUCUUCUGCUUUCAAAUGAAAGCCCCUGCAAGCAGUAUCAGCAAUAGGAAACAGUCUCACCUGCCUGCCCUGGAGUGAUUUUUUUUUUUUUUUUUUUUGUAAUAAAUGAAGAAAAAGGGAGGGGAAGGGGUAAAACAAGCUUUGCCCUGGUAAGCUCCAUAAGUUCAGCAUGCCCUGUGUGCCAGCUCUGAAAUAAAAAGCUCCUUUGCACUCACUGUGUCUCUGUGUAUUCAGACAGUGAAGCAGGCACUCCCACACCCCAUCUGUGCCCCAGUUUCCCCAUGAGGAGCAGGAUCUGUCCCAGUCCUGGGGCCAGGGCUCCAGCAUCACCCGCAUCCUGGGUCAGACCCUCAAACCCCACAGCCUUCAGGGUGGGGGUUCCCACAGAUGCUGACUCAUCCUUCCCCAAAGAGGCCAUUCUGCUGAGUCAGGGUCACGCCAGGCCACGGGGUUUUGCUGAGCAACGCUUCUGGGCUGCGGCAAAGGGGCCCUUAGUUGCUGAGUCACAGCAGAGAGGCCACGUGAGGCUGUUUAUCAGGAGGGCGGCUUCUGCCUGCCGUGCUGAGGUUGCAGCUGUUGUUCCUGGCCCUGCUCCCGUUUCUCAGGACGACCGGAGAAAUCUCCAGAAAUAAACCCCAGCCCCGCAGCACUGCAUGGGACGCGCAUCUCCUCUACUCCAGCUGGGAGCCACACAGCGGGGGGUUGGAAGCAGCGGGGUACAGUGGGGUUUCGCUACCUGCAGAACUUGGUUUCCUGUUCUGUCUCCUCCCGUGCCCUGAGCUGCGGUACAAAGUCCUGUUCGGUGCCUACGUGCGAGUCCUCGAAUGCAGCCACUCGCAGCGUGCGCCUGUCUCAGUCAGGGUGCACUUUGCUUCAUGCAGGGCUACGUGGGGUUUGUAUUCGCUAGCUUGCCUUGCUCCCUUCCACACCUCCCUGUGGCUCACAGACCCCAGUCCCAGCAGGUCGCAGGGUCUGUCCCCACCGGCACCCGGCCCCAGCCGAAGCCCUUAUCCAUACAUCUGGAACAAUGCGUAUUGUAAUCACCGCUUCCUGCUUCCAUCACCCUGAGAACCCGGCACGCACGUCCAUCCCCCACCACAUCCGUCUCUGGGGCCACGGCACGGGCUCUGUGCGGAGCAGCAGCAUCCGUCCCCCAGAGGUGCCACCGCCACAGCCCCACGGGGAGGACCCCUUGGUUCUCAGUGCUCCCACCCACUGUGCUCCAUCUGUAUCUUUGAUCUGGGUUCGGGUUGUUCUGCGGCGAGGGCAAUAAGCACAAUCCGUUCUGCCAGGGCAGCCUCCUUUUGGUAAACACGAAUUAGCACACAGCACGUCCUGUGGACUCCAGCAGUGACUCUCUCCUUUCACAAGUAGCUGUACGUGGGUAUUGCAGCUGUGUGGGGUUUUUCCCUCUCCAUUACACAGCAAGAUCUGGUUGCUGAGUCAGCCCCCCUCCCAGCCAGGCUGAAUUCUGCUGUGUCAUGGUUUCAGUCCUCCAUCAGUUCCCUCUUUGCUGGCCAAGACUGGCUGUGACCAGGCGGUGCCUCCUUGCACUGGCCAAGCCGCUGGGAAGCAAUGCAUCAGAGCCAAAUGAGGAGCGGUGUUCCAGAAGGCAGGAGAUCUUUCUUCUCUGGGGCAGAUGGUGUAACCAGAGGGUUCUGGCUGUGAAGCCUACAGUCAGGACAAGCUGUUAGGUCCAUAAAGAGGAAAAUCUUAGAAUCAUCGAAUCAUUUAAGUUGGAAGGGACUUUUAAAAGGUCAUCUGGUCCAACUCCCCUGCAAUGAACAGGGACACCUACAGCUACAUCAGGGUGCUCAGAGCCCCUCCAGCCUGACCCUGGGUGUCUCCAGGGAUAGAGCAUCCACCACCUCUCUGGAUGACCCGCUCCAGUGUUUCACUACCUAUAUUAUAAAAAACUUCUUUAUUAUAUCCAACCUAAAACUCCCCUCAUUUAGUUUGAAAUCAUUUCCCCUUGUCCUAUUCUAACAGAUCCUGCUAAAGAGCCUGUCCCUUUCGAUCUCCCACAUUUCCCUUCCCCUGAUGGCAACACUGACUCCUCAGUGACUUCUGUUGCUGAAGUCUAUUCCGUUCCUCUAACCCAUCCCAUGACUUAAACAUUUUCUCAAAGACUCAGACAGGCAGAUGGAGGUAUUUGAGCCCAUCACUAUCACAAAUAUCAGCCUCAGGCUGCUUCAUUUAUCUUCCUACAAAUCCCCCAGGCAAACUCAGCAGUAGUCCCACACGACACCAUCCCCUCCGGCACCGUGCAGCCACUGAUCAGUGAAAGCACAGCAAAAGCAGAGAGGAAGCAAUGCAAGUCCUCACUGCAGAGCACUGGAUCAAGCCAGAAAAGCUUCAGCCCAGCAAUUGCAAAACUGAUGACAGCCUGCUUU